AUCAGUUGUUAUCAUUAUUAGGCAGAUGGGAGCAAAAUGGACAGGAGAGAAUUGGAAAAGAUUCCAACUAUGAGCAGGAGGGUAAAGUCCAGUUUGUGAUUGAUGCAGUCUAUGCUAUGGCUCAUGCCCUUCACCACAUGAACAAGGAUCUCUGUGCUGACUACCGGGGUGUCUGCCCAGAGAUGGAGCAAGCUGGAGGCAAGAAGUUGCUGAAGUAUAUCCGCAAUGUUAACUUCAAUGGUAGUGCUGGCACUCCAGUGAUGUUUAACAAGAACGGGGAUGCACCUGGGCGUUAUGACAUCUUUCAGUACCAGACCACAAACACCAGCAACCCGGGUUACCGUCUGAUCGGGCAGUGGACAGACGAACUUCAGCUCAAUUAAUUACCAAGGGGCCUUGCACUGAGGGCAUCAACAAGAUAUGUGGCCCAAGACAGCUGCUUGGCUUCCCAUCCAAGAUAAAGUCAGAUGCUCUAGAAAUGUGUGCAUGUUGAGGACUGAAGGGAGGGGAAACUUUGCUUCUUAUUUAUCACCUGUCAGGUCUGGAGAAGCACAGAUGCCAAGUGCAUGAAACACAGAAGCUGCUCAGUGAAUGGCCUUUAAUUAUGAGAUAGGAGAAUUACAAGAUGAUGUUAGAAGGAUGGGAUAAAGACCAUUUGUGCCUGCUACAGAAUGUUGGCAUGGAAAGUCCUUCCAGGACAUCAUAGUACCCUUAGUAGUAUAGAAGACAUGCAGUGGGGUAAAGGAGUCCGAGAGAUACCCCCCUCAGUGUGCACACUACCAUGUAAGCCAGGACAGAGAAAGAAGACACAGAAAGGAACUCCUUGCUGUUGGACCUGUGAGCCUUGCGAUGGUUACCAGUACCAGUUUGAUGAGAUGACAUGCCAGCAUUGCCCCUAUGACCAGAGGCCCAAUGAAAAUCGAACCGGGUGCCAGGAUAUUCCCAUCAUCAAACUGGAGUGGCACUCCCCCUGGGCUGUGAUUCCUGUCUUCCUGGCAAUGUUGGGGAUCAUUGCCACCAUCUUUGUCAUGGCCACUUUCAUCCGCUACAAUGACACGCCCAUUGUCCGGGCUUCUGGGCGGGAACUCAGCUAUGUUCUUUUGACGGGCAUCUUUCUUUGCUACAUCAUCACUUUCCUGAUGAUUGCCAAACCAGAUGUGGCAGUGUGUUCUUUCCGGCGUGUUUUCUUGGGCUUGGGUAUGUGCAUCAGUUAUGCAGCCCUCUUGACGAAAACAAAUCGGAUUUAUCGCAUAUUUGAGCAGGGCAAGAAAUCAGUAACAGCUCCCAGACUCAUAAGCCCAACAUCACAACUGGCAAUCACUUCCAGUUUAAUAUCAGUUCAGCUUCUAGGGGUUUUCAUUUGGUUUGGUGUUGAUCCACCCAACAUCAUCAUAGACUAUGAUGAACAUAAGACAAUGAACCCUGAGCAAGCCAGAGGAGUUCUCAAGUGUGACAUUACAGAUCUCCAAAUCAUUUGCUCCUUGGGAUAUAGCAUUCUUCUCAUGGUCACAUGUACUGUGUAUGCCAUCAAGACUCGGGGUGUACCAGAGAAUUUUAAUGAAGCCAAGCCCAUUGGAUUCACUAUGUACACGACAUGUAUAGUAUGGCUUGCCUUCAUUCCAAUUUUUUUUGGCACCGCUCAAUCAGCGGAAAAGCAUUAGUUUGCUAAGGAUAACAGCCUCCAGCUCCAUCUAUGUUCUUGCGAAAGACAUGAUCUCAUGCUUUUUUAUGGCUGUACAGUAUUCCAUGGUCUCAGGCUUUCCCUGAAUCAUUGUAAGAUAAUGGAGACGCAGCAAUGACUGUUCUUGUUAUCCUCCCCAACCAGACUAAAUGAAGACAGGACCUCUGUCCUAUUUAUUUUCCUGAGCAUCUAAUGGUGCCUGGACACACACUGUCAUUGUUUGAAAAAUGAGUACAUGUUCACUCUAAAGUUACAAG
rnacentral:sRNA from 1 species